rnacentral:rRNA from 1 species
GACGUAGGGCGCGAGCGUUGUCCGGAUUUAUUGGGCGUAAAGAGCUCGUAGGCGGCUUGUCGCGUCGUUCGUGAAAAACCUGCAGCUCAACUGCAGGCUUGCGGUCGAUACGGGCAGGCUAGAGUUCGGUAGGGGAGACUGGAAUUCCUGGUGUAGCGGUGAAAUGCGCAGAUAUCAGGAGGAACACCGGUGGCGAAGGCGGG